GACGAACGCUGGCGGCGUGCUUAACACAUGCAAGUCGAACGAAGGCUUCGGCCUUAGUGGCGCACGGGUGCGUAACGCGUGGGAAUCUGCCCUCAGGUUCGGAAUAGCAGCGAGAAAUUGCUGCUAAUACCGGAUGAUAUCGCGAGAUCAAAGAUUUAUCGCCUGAGGAUGAGCCCGCGUAGGAUUAGCUAGUUGGUGUGGUAAAGGCGCACCAAGGCGACGAUCCUUAGCUGGUCUGAGAGGAUGAUCAGCCACACUGGGACUGAGACACGGCCCAGACUCCUACGGGAGGCAGCAGUGGGGAAUAUUGGACAAUGGGCGAAAGCCUGAUCCAGCAAUGCCGCGUGAGUGAUGAAGGCCUUAGGGUUGUAAAGCUCUUUUACCCGGGAUGAUAAUGACAGUACCGGGAGAAUAAGCUCCGGCUAACUCCGUGCCAGCCGCCGCCGUAA
rnacentral:rRNA from 1 species